rnacentral:lncRNA from 13 species
GGAACUCAAUCGCGAUUAUUCUGCUAGCACUGUAAAGAGUGAAUCGCGUUUUCCAGGUUGAAAUUUGCGUCGUGAAAAUUAUGUCACAUGUUUUGGACAAUUUGGACACUCCGUUAACUAUGAAACUCUAUUGUACCGAAGCAGGUUCAAUCGCGAGUCGAAACAUGUCUACAGUUCUCUUGGAGGAAAAUAAAUUAUUUAACUACA